CAAGCUGGUGCAUAUAAAUCAUAUGUACCGAGCUUGUUACAUAUGUAGUUUGACAUCGAAACCGUGUUUCUAGACCCGAAAGCAUCUAGUCCCAAAGACAACUUUGGAUUAUCAACUGAAAACUCGCUGAAACAGAAACAGAGAACUGAAAACUGUCGCUGCCGGAAAAUAGGAUUACUGUAGCUGCCGGAAAAGCACUGUAGCUGCCGGAAAAAUUCAAAGUUGUCGGAAUUGAAAAAUAAAAAUAUGGAUAGGCUCGGAAUUCAAGG
rnacentral:lncRNA from 1 species